AAUCAACGCUGGCGGCGUGCCUCAGACAUGCAAGUCGAGCGAUUAAAGCUCCCUUCGGGGAGUGCAUAAAGUGGCGCACGGGUGAGUAACACGUAAGUAAUCUACCCUCGAGUGGGGAAUAACGUCCGGAAACGGACGCUAAUACCGCAUAAUGCAGCGGCACCGCAAGGUGACAGUUGUUAAAGAUUUAUCGCUCGAGGAGGAGCUUGCGGCAGAUUAGCUAGUUGGUAAGGUAAUGGCUUACCAAGGCCGCGAUCUAUAACCGGUCUAAGAGGACGGUCGGUCACACUGACACUGAAUAACGGGUCAGACUCCUACGGGAGGCAGCAGUCGGGAAUUUUGGGCAAUGGGCGAAAGCCUGACCCAGCAACGCCGCGUGAAGGAUGAAGUAUUUCGGUAUGUAAACUUCGAAAGAAUGGGGAGAAUAAAUGACGGUACCAUUUAUAAGCUCCGGCUAACUACGUGCCAGCCGCCGCCGUAACAC
rnacentral:rRNA from 1 species